rnacentral:misc_RNA from 1 species
GAUGAAGAACGCAGCGAAAUGCGAUACGUAAUGUGAAUUGCAGAAUUCAGUGAAUCAUCGAGUCUUUGAACGCACAUUGCGCCCCCUGGUAUUCCGGGGGGCAUGCCUGUCCGAGCGUCAUUGCUGCCCUCAAGCCCGGCUUGUGUGUUGGGUCUCGUCCCCCUUCCCGGGGGGACGGGCCCGAAAGGCAGCGGCGGCACCGCGUCCGGUCCUCGAGCGUAUGGGGCUUUGUCACCCGCUCUGUAGGCCCGGCCGGCGCUUGCCGAUCAACCAAAACUUUUUUCCAGGUUGACCUCGGAUCAGGUAGGGAUACCCGCUGAACUUAGGCAUAUCAAUAAGCGGAGGA